AUGCCCCCGCAUUUAUUUAAUUACCACCCCCAAAACCACACACCCCCCUCAACCGCAGCACACCACGGCCAUUUCGGCCCCCCCCCCCGGCAGCACACGGCGUGGGACUACACCUCCCGUGAGGCCCCGCCGAGCGGGGCGGCGCCUCCCCGCCCGCCCCCCUCACUACAACCCCCAGCAGCGCCCCGCGGCGGGGCUGCGGCGCAUGCGCGCGGCGGGGCGGGGCCGGGGCCGGGGCCGGGCGGGGACCGCGCAGCGCCGCCAGGGGCCGGGAGCGCGGCGGGACCCGGAGCGGCGCCGGGACGGGACCGGGAGCGGAGCGGGACCCGGAGCCGGACCCCGACCCCCCGCGGCCCGCCUCGGCUCCUCGCGGGGCUCCUGAGCAGUAACCGAGCGAUAGAGAGAAGACAGGCGCGCGUGUGGGGUAUAAAGGUGUGUACGUGCAGGGGGAAAACCCAGAUGCAAGAGAUGGCCUUGGUUUUUCCAAGCAGCCGUGCUUCAGAAGACAAGGAAGUCAUACCCCAGGACUAAUAAAGGCUGUCUGUAUGUCAGAAUGUUAACGUAGAAGAGAGGAAGCGCACAAGUUGGGCAUUAUUGACUGUAGCAGAUUUUAGUAGUGCCCUGAAGUUUUUUCUAAAGCGCUUAUCACUUCUCUAAAGCGAUCUCUGCUUGUAAUACAGUCUUCAAUGCAGUAUUGGACACGGCCCAGAAUGCCAGGCCUGCAAAAUCCUUAAUCUAUUUUAGUAGGUUCAGAAUUCGAUCAAUGUCGUUAUUGCUAAAUGGUUCUGGUUACUCGAGCUGACACCUAUCAUACCGCAUGUAGUCGCUUCAAAAUGCAGCAAACCAGAAGCACGGGAAAGUGAGAAUGUGCUAAAAGUGUGAAGUUCCCUUGCGUGUGUGUGGUGCUGUGCACUUUGUGACCAGCUGUACGGCAGUGUUUGUCUGAACAACAGCUUGCGAUGCAGGGGAACGCAUCUUUCUUGCAAUUCGUUUUGUUCCCUGAUAAUUUGGAGCGAUGGAAAACAUCCUCAGAAAACGCUCGCUGGGAUUUUGAGCCAAGUAAACCUUUGUGCAGUCGUACAGUUGCAUGAACGUAGAGGGCAGUAACUUGCUUCAGUGCCAACGUAUGUGAAUUUAGGUAACCGGAUUUGGCAUAAAACAUUUUUACAAAAUGGAGUAAGUAAUGCAGAUGUCACUAGGAAGCAAGAAGCACGUGUGUGGUUUUCUCAUUUUGAAUCGAAAUGCGGCAAGACGUGGCCAUAAAUGCUGCUCUCGGUGCUGUGGAAAGUCGCAUAAGGAACCCAAGUAUCAAGAUUCCAGUGAGCUUACCUUACACGAAGGUAAUGUGGCUUCUUUAAAAAGUGAUAAUAAAGAAGUGUGUGCUGAAGAGGUUGGAAAAAGA
rnacentral:lncRNA from 1 species